rnacentral:rRNA from 1 species
GCAGUCGACGCUGAAGCCUGGUGCUUGCACCGGGUGGAUGAGUGGCGAACGGGUGAGUAACACGUGAGUAACCUGCCCCUGACUUCGGGAUAAGCCCGGGAAACUGGGUCUAAUACCGGAUACGACUGCCGGACGCAUGUCUGGUGGUGGAAAGUUUUUUCGGUUGGGGAUGGGCUCGCGGCCUAUCAGUUUGUUGGUGAGGUAAUGGCUCACCAAGACGACGACGGGUAGCCGGCCUGAGAGGGCGACCGGCCACACUGGGACUGAGACACGGCCCAGACUCCUACGGGAGGCAGCAGUGGGGAAUAUUGCACAAUGGGGGAAACCCUGAUGCAGCGACGCAGCGUGCGGGAUGACGGCCUUCGGGUUGUAAACCGCUUUCAGCAGGGAAGAAGCGCAAGUGACGGUACCUGCAGAAGAAGUACCGGCUAACUACGUGCCAGCAGCCGCGGUAAUACGUAGGGUACGAGCGUUGUCCGGAAUUAUUGGGCGUAAAGAGCUCGUAGGUGGUUGGUCACGUCUGCUGUGGAAACGCAACGCUUAACGUUGCGCGUGCAGUGGGUACGGGCUGACUAGAGUGCAGUAGGGGAGUCUGGAAUUCCUGGUGUAGCGGUGAAAUGCGCAGAUAUCAGGAGGAACACCGGUGGCGAAGGCGGGACUCUGGGCUGUAACUGACACUGAGGAGCGAAAGCAUGGGGAGCGAACAGGAUUAGAUACCCUGGUAGUCCAUGCCGUAAACGUUGGGCACUAGGUGUGGGGGGGCAUUCCACGUUCUCCGCGCCGUAGCUAACGCAUUAAGUGCCCCGCCUGGGGGAGUACGGUCGCAAGGCUAAAACUCAAAGGAAUUGACGGGGGCCCGCACAAGCGGCGGAGCAUGCGGAUUAAUUCGAUGCAACGCGAAGAACCUUACCAAGGCUUGACAUACACCGGACCGUCCUGGAAACAGGUCCUCUUCUUUGAAGCUGGUGUACAGGUGGGUGCAUGGUUGUCGUCAGCUCGUGUCGUGAGAAGGUUUGGGUUAAGUCCCGCAACGAGCGCAACCCUCGUUCUAUGUUGCCAGCAUGGGGAUGGUGGGAACUCAUAGG